rnacentral:rRNA from 1 species
GAUGAACGCUGGCGGCGUGCCUAAUACAUGCCAGUCGAGCGAACAGACGAGGAGCUUGCUCCUUUGACGUUAGCGGCGGACGGGUGAGUAACACGUAGGUAACCUACCUAUAAGACUGGGAUAACUUCGGGAAACCGGAGCUAAUACCGGAUAAUAUUUCGAACCGCAUGGUUCGAUAGUGAAAGAUGGCUUUGCUGUCACUUAUAGAUGGACCUGCGCCGUAUUAGCUAGUUGGUAAGGUAACGGCUUACCAAGGCAACGAUACGUAGCCGACCUGAGAGGGUGAUCGGCCACACUGGAACUGAGACACGGUCCAGACUCCUACGGGAGGCAGCAGUAGGGAAUCUUCCGCAAUGGGCGAAAGCCUGACGGAGCAACGCCGCGUGAGUGAUGAAGGUCUUCGGAUCGUAAAACUCUGUUAUUAGGGAAGAACAAACGUGUAAGUAACUGUGCACGUCUUGACGGUACCUAAUCAGAAAGCCACGGCUAACUACGUG